rnacentral:misc_RNA from 1 species
AUGAGUUAGGGUCUCCGGGCCCGAACCUCCAACCCUUUGUCGUCACAAAACCACUUUGUUGCUUUGGCGGGACCGCCGGCCCCCCUUCGCGGGGGGGCGGGCUGCCGGUCUCAGGCCCGGCAUGCGCCCGCCAGAGGAAAACCAAACUCUUGUUUUAACCGUACGUCCGAGUAAAAAUGAUUAAAUCAAUCA